GCGCUAUCAGAUGAGCCUAGGUCGGAUUAGGCUAGUUGUGAGGUAACUGGCUCACCAAGGCGACGAUCCGUAACUGGUCUGAGAGGAUGAUCAGUCACACUGGAAACUGAGACACGGUCCUAGACUCCUACGGGAGGCAGCAGUGGGGAAGUAUUGGACUAAUGGGCGAAAGCCCUGAUCCAGCCAUGCCGCGUGUGUGAAGAAGGUCUUCGGAUUGUAAAGCACUUUAAGUUGGGAGGAAGGGUUGUAGACUUAAUACUCUGCAAUUUUGACGUUACCGACAGAAUAAGCACCGGCUAACUCUGUGC
rnacentral:rRNA from 1 species